AUUGCAGGCUGCAACCCGCCCUGCAUGAAGUCGGAAUUGCUAGUAAUCGCGGAUCAGCAUGCCGCGGUGAAUACGUUCCCGGGCCCUUGUACACACCGCCCGUCACACCAUGGGAGCCGGUAAUACCCGAAGUCAGUAGUCCAACCUCGUGAGGACGCUGCCGAAGGUAGGAUUGGCGACUGGGGUGAAGUCGUAACAAGGUAAC
rnacentral:rRNA from 1 species